UACGUAGGGUGCGAGCGUUUAAUCGGAAUUACUGGGCGUAAAGCGUGCGCAGGCGGUGAUGUAAGACAGUUGUGAAAUCCCCGGGCUCAACCUGGGAAUUGCAUCUGUGACUGCAUCGCUAGAGUACGGUAGAGGGGGAUGGAAUUCCGCGUGUAGCAGUGAAAUGCGUAGAUAUGCGGAGGAACACCGAUGGCGAAGGCAAUCCCCUGGACCUGUACUGACGCUCAUGCACGAAAGCGUGGGGAGCAAACAGG
rnacentral:rRNA from 1 species